rnacentral:lncRNA from 13 species
CUACAAUGUGAUUUUCUGGAUUUUUUUUCUCAUUUUGUUUGUCAUAGUUGAAGUGUACCUAUGAUGAAAAUUACAGGCCUCUCUCAUCUUUUUAAGUGGGAGAACUUGCACAAUUGGUGGCUGACUAAAUACUUUUUUGCCCCACUGCACCUAGUUAAAUAAAGGUUUUUAAAAAGGUACCCUACAAUAUGUAGUGAUAUUAGUUAUUCGUCUCCCGAGAAAGAUCUAACAGCAGAUAUUAGACAAGCCAGUUAUAGAGGUUGUAGGCCAACUGAGCUGACUGAAGACCGCGGCAUAGAUGUGGUAAAGAGGUCUACGGAACUCGACCAAAACAAUGGAAGUGUCAUGGAAACGCGUGGGGUAAAGAUCCUGAGUCUCCUCAUUGCCCUACAGCAAAAUGUGCCUAGAUUUAGGCUAUUGUUUUAAAUGUGUAUUUCACACUAUGUUGAGGUAAAAAAAAAUCUGAGUAUAACGCUUGUAUGGAUGACAACCCCAAUACAUGUUUAUGUCACCAUUACCAAUCAACUGCAUUACAGUGAAAAAGGACUUUGACUACCACAACUGAUUUAUGUAUGCUAACUAUGUUAACCAGCUUAUACGAACUGGCAUUAGCUACUUCUAAACCUGAAAAGGGACAACUUCUACAUGUUAUGCAGCUAAAACUGCCAAAUAUGUCCAAAUCGGACUUAAGUAACCACAUUGUUGGCCUGUUACAAUACAUAAAUCAUGGCGGAUGAGACGAAUAUCCACUUUGUUAAAUCAGAUUUGUUGAAUGGGCCAAUCUGGUCAAUGGAGCAUGUUCGUGUAUUUACAUGAUGUGAUGAAACGUUGAAACUAAGUGUUUGUUUGUACAUCCCCUACAUCCCCUCUACUCCGAUUUCUAUCUAUCCCAUCCCCUACAUCCCCUACAUCCCCUCUACUCCGAUUUCUAUCUAUCCCUCUAUCCCAUCCCCUACAUCCCCUCUACUCCGAUUUCUAUCUAUCCCUCUAUCCCAUCCCCUAUAUCCCCUCUACUCCGAUUUCUAUCUAUCCCUCUAUCCCAUCCUCUACAUCCCCUCUACUGUGAUUUCUAUCUGUCCCUCUAUCCCAUCCCCUACAUCCCCUCUACUGUGAUUUCUAUCUAUCCCUCUAUCCCAUCCCCUACAUCCCCUCUACUCCAAUUUCAGAGCACUCUUGUCUGAGUCCCAGAACGCAGAAUAACUGAUUCAUUUACGAACGUGCAAUACCCAUUCAAUAUGAUCAUGUCGGCAAAAAAACGUAAUUAAAUUGUUGCCAGCAGCACUGUUACAGUCACCAACACGAUGUAUAACAUGAAACAGCCUAACAAGCUCUGCGAAGGGGAGUAAAACGGUCAGAGUGAGGUGUUCUCUCAUUUGUGUCUGGAAGUGGCUAGCAAGACUUCAGCAAGUGUGAUUGACUGCUGUUGUGAGGUCAGAAUGCUCGGAUCAACCCUACUCCUCUGCCAGAGCGUCUAGUGUGCGCUCUGAACGCUCCGAAAGCGAAACACUCUGAAUUUAUGAAUGGACAAUCUAACAACGCUCUGAAUUUAUUAACGCCCAGAGUGCACUCUGAGCACACUGGUACUCCAGAUUGAAUUUACAAACACAUCCUAAAUUGCAAGGUACUUUCGUAGCAAGGUGUUGUGGAAGUGUCUCCUGAAACAGAAACACACAUGGUUCUUGCUGGCUCUUGCCUCUAAAUCCCUAACUGAUCAGCUAGAUUGUACAGCCAGUUGCAGGUAUGACCAAGCUAUGCUACAGAUGAAGUUGGAUGUUUACAUACACUUAGGUUAGAGUCAUUAAAACUCAUUUUUCAACCACUCCACAAGCUAUAGUUUUGGCAAGUCGG